AACGAACGCUGGCGGUAUGCCUAACACAUGCAAGUCGAACGAGACCUUCGGGUCUAGUGGCGCACGGGUGCGUAACGCGUGGGAACCUGCCCUUAUGUUCGGAAUACCUCCCCGAAAGGGGUGCUAAUACCGGAUAAUGUCUUCGGACCAAAGAUUUAUCGCCUUUGGAUGGGCCCGCGUUGGAUUAGCUAGUUGGUAGGGUAAAAGCCUACCAAGGCGACGAUGCCUAGCUGGUCUGAGAGGAUGAUCAGCCACACUGGGACUGAGACACGGCCCAGACUCCUACGGAAGGGAGCAGUGGGGAAUAUUGGACACUGGGCGAAAGCCUGAGCCAGCAAGGCCGGGUGAGUGAGGAAGGCCUUAGGGUUGUAAAGCGCUUUUACCCGGGAUGAUAAUGACGGUACCGGGAGAAUAAGCGCCGGCUAACUACGUG
rnacentral:rRNA from 1 species